rnacentral:piRNA from 1 species
UUCCAAGUCAUGCAGUUCAUUAGAGCGAA